UAGCUGCCACAGCCAGAAUGUUAUUGUUUUUGAACACUAUUUUGCUUGGCUCAAGUUAAGGUAAUAUUGAUCGUUUCACUUUCCUUGAGUGAAUUCAUUUCUAAAGGCACCCGUCAAAACUUCUUCUUUUAUCAGCGCAAGAACUGUGUUGAUCGUCAUGUCGCUGCUGACACUUUCUCGUUAAAUUAAUCUGGUGAGAGUUGGCCUUCCCAUCUUCUCGGCCUCGUCCAAAUGUAUCAUCAAUUAAGCUUUUGUUCCUCGCGCUCCACUGAUAUUUUACUUCUCUGAGGUAAGAGCCAGGAAAUGAAAAUACAACUCUUUUAUGAACGAGGUUGCCUAUUUUUUUAUGUGUUUCUCAGGGAUAAUUUAAAAUAGUAUAAUGCUUCCUUUUGACUAAUUGAUUUCUGGGUUGUUAUUGUUACCAUCAAUCCAUACAUUUUCUAUACCGCUUGUCCUUACUAGGGUCGCGUGUAUCCCAACUGUUUUCGGGAGAGGCGGGGUACCCUCUGGACUGGUCGCCAGCCAAUCACAGUGUUAUUAUUAUUAUUAUUAUUAUUAUUAUCAUUAAUAAUAAAUUUAAAAUAUCAUCUUGAGCAAAUGAACAGAGCUAUAUAUGAAUCUAGUGGGACCAUACAUGUGCAUGUUGUUAUAUUUUAUAAUAAUAAUACUAAUUACUACUGCUAUUAUAUUAUACCAUAAUAUAAUAACAAUUGCUACACACCUACUGGCUUAAGAAGCUAACUACACUCCAUGAACGCGUGGCAGCACACAUGAACCAGCUGCUAACAUUGGGGACACACCCAGAAUGGUUAACUCAAGGUUGAACGGUUCUCAAAGACCCCCAGAAAGGAACGGCACCGUCCAACUACCAACCAAUAACCAACCUCAGCACCACAUCAAAGCUCCGAUCGGGCAUCAUAGUGGCUAAAGUGAGUAGGCAUAUGGAUCAAUACAUGAGCAAAGCACAGAAGGGUAUUGGCAAUAACACCUGGGGAGCCAAACACCAGCUGCUUGAUAGGGCAAUUGCACAAGACUGUAAGACCAGAAGCACCAACCUGUGCACUGCCUGGACUGAUUACAAGAAAGCUGAUGACUCAAUGCCACACACAUGGAUACCGGAAUACCUGAAAUGGUAUAACAUCAACAGGACACUACGAACCUAUACCAAAAACUCAGUAAGGCUAUGGAAGACAAUUCCAACUCCAAGCCAAUUGCACAGGUGAGCAUCAAAUGUGGCAUAUCCCAAGGAGAUGCUCUGUCCCCACUGCUGUUCUUCAAAGGCGAACAACGACCAGCUACCUCCUCUACAUGGAUGACAUCAAGCUGUAUGCCAAGAAUGAGCGUGACAUCGACUCCCUGAUUCACGUCACAAGGAUAUACAGCAAUAACAUCGAAAUGGACUACAGUAGAUAAGUGUGGGUAAAUGAUAUCUAGACGAGAGAAGAUGAUCACUCAUAAAGGGGUUGAACUACCUGAAGGCAACAUAACGGAUAUACAGGACAGCUGCAAAUACCUGGGUAUCCCACAGCCAUGAGGGGGCAGCUCGAAGGACAGCCAGAGCCAACUAUGACAUCUGGAAAACAUACCAGUGGCUGGAAAAGGAUGGACUGAGACAGCACAGAUGCACUCACGGCAGCACAAGAACAGACCUUAAACACAAGAUCAAUAGAGGUCAGGGUCUACCACAUCAGACAGGACCCCAGGUGCAGGCUGUGCAAGAAGCCACAUUGCAGCACAUUACUGCAGGGUGUACAUGGAGCGGCACAACCAGGUAGCAGGAAGAGUGUACCAGAACAUCUGUACCAAAUCCGGAUUAGAUACCACAGGUGGUUGAGAACAACCAGGCCACGAUCCUGUGGGAUCCACACUGACAAACUGUCAUCCAAUCUCAAUGUUUAUAAUAUAUACUGAAGGGUUAUAAGACCUUUCCUAGCUGGUUAUCGAUUUUUUUACACUUUCAAUUCCUCUAAAAUUAAAAAUACCUUGUAAUUUUCUAUCAAGCAUCCAGUUUGUCGGGGGCGACUUGGAGCCUUCCCCAUCUGUCUGUUUUACACACUCCCACUGAUUAUCGCGCCCAUCUCGCCAGUAUAAGAACACCUGUUUACCUUCCCAGGUGGCGUCGCGAUGUGGGCUCAGGUCGUGGGACACCCCCUCUGUUUUUCCUCCCAUCUGCAUCUGCUCUCCUCUUUGCAUCCCUCCAUUGGCAUUCUGCUCACAUUGGCCUGUCUAAUUAGAAGGCAGGCAGAGAGCACAAAAAAAAAUCCCUCUUUUCUUUUUUUCCCUCCAUGUCCUUCCAAGGGUCUUAUUUUUCUUACAGCGAAGGACUCGGGCAGAAGGGAAGCUUUUACUUAUUUCUUGAGGGCACAAAGGGAUUUUGGCACACAUCCCAGGAUGCUCAUGAACUUUGCACAGGUCUGCAAAGGGCUCGUUGACAGGUCUGCUAUGGGAAGUGCUCCGCCCACAGAUGGGAGAUCACUGCAGGGAAUAGUGGAGGCGGCAAAUGCAAAUAAGGAUGUCUUCCACCAGUAUCUAUGAAUAAAAUACUAAACAUACAGUCAGCAUAAUCAUUUGAAAGGUAUGUGCCUUUUUUUGCUGGGUUUGCCAUUGUUGUGUGUCCUUGGUAAGUGCCAUGACUACAAUAUAUGACAUACUGUUGCAGCUAACAGGCUAUUUAUUCUUUGUAAAGGAAGACAAAGACAAUGAAAAUCAAUAGAAAACUGUCGACUACCAUAUUGACCCGACUCUAAGAUUAUGAAGAAAAUAUACAAAUCCGAAAAAGGCCGAUAGUUAUAUUUGGUGUCUUGUGAUGUUUACAAUCGGUGGUGUGAAAUGACUUAUUCCCAAGUGGUGUCAGAGCUUUUCUUCCGGUCGCUCACACACCCCAAGUGACCUGGACAGAUGCAAAGAAGUCAAACAAGCAAAAAAGUUGAUAUUGGAUCACUUGAAUAUUGUUGUGUUGACCUGAAAAAUGCAAUGUUGCUCAUACACGCCUGCCCCCAUCGAUAGGCAGGACAACUGCACAAGAAAAUAAGUUUAUAUUUAUGUAAUAAAUAUGUAAUAUAUUUACAAAUAUAUUCUAAAGUUAUGAUGACAUAACUUUGAAAAAUGAGGAAAAGACGUACCUGUAUGAUCAAAAAAAGCAUAAAUGUAAAGAACUCCAAAAGUUAUCUAAAGGUUAAAAAUAGAUUUAGUCAGCACCCAUUAAAGAGUUUAAGGCUUUGACAUUCUCAUGUAACCUCAACAUAUCCACUGACCAGCCAUUUUAAUUUGCUGUAAGAUACACAAACAUAUCUUAUGCUUUUUGGGGCAAUCUGUGGUGGGUGUGUGUUUUUUAGUCGAAGAUUUUAAGUUAAAUUGCAGGUUGAAUAAUGUAUUUGUUAGGACUAAGCUGCAGUAUUUCCCUUGCUUUUCCAUCCAUCCAUCCAUCCAUCCAUCUUCUAUGCCGCUUUUCCUUCCCUUGCUUUUCUGUUUACUUAUUCAACAUAAUACCAUCCUAUUCACGGCCUCUAUAAGAUAAGAUGUCAACACUGACGCCAUCACAAUGAAUUAUGCAACUACUGUUGACAACAACUCUGCAAACGAUGAGGAAAUCAAGUAUCUCCACAUAGGAUUGUGCAUUGCCAGGAGCUUUGGGGAGCCUCAUAUUGACAUUCUGUUUUUUUUUUUAUCUUUCCAACUUUGUGUGUUACUGCACGCUUCCGCUUCCCCCGGUGGUUGAUAAAUAAUAUGUUCUGUUAUGUAUUUCAACGUGAGCUACCUCCCUUCAUGGAGAAGGAUGCAAACACAUGAGAGCAUGGAGUACAUGUUUGGACACAUACAUAUGCAACACAAACCCACUUUGCCUGCUCAGUUAACACAGCAGGGCCGACAAAGCGGCCCGCAUAGCUCUCUAAAUUAUCUAGCUGCCCCACGCUUGGUCCAGACGCCCUCGUGUGCUGCACUCAUUUAUAAUACAAACCAUGUGACAGGCUACUGCAUUAGCACGCCGCACUAGUCUCUCACAAACACACUUUCAUGUGUGUGUGUGUGUGUGUCUGUGUGUGCGUGUGUGUGUGUCCAGCACUUAGUUCCAGCUGGAUCAGUUUUAAGCUCAAAGAUGGCCGUCUGCUGCCACAUGUCGCCCAGUUGUGUCACCGAUGGACGGAAAAUUAAUUCAGCAGCUCAUUACACAUUAGCACUGCAAAAAGAGAUUAAAGUCGCAAGUAUGAACGGGCUUUGGCACCCUCUCGCCUGUCGGGGUAGCAUGAAAGUUGGCAAGUGCUUGAGGAUUGAGAGAUAGACAGAUCUAACUUCACUGCCAUGCUCUGUUCAACCGCAGUGACUUAAGCUUAAUGUUUCCACAAUUCAGCACCACCCAUCUGUCUACAGUAGUUUACAUGAUUAGAGUUUGGUUGCGAUCGGGCAGAACUUUGAGGACAAGUUGCUUUUUGAAAGAGCCCUGAAAAUGGACAAAAUGGAAUUAAAAAGGAAGUUUUAAAUCAAAAUGGCAGAUUUUGUGUGUCUUUUCGGAUGUGGGUUUUAGAGGCUUUUUUGUGAGUCUCCUCAUGAUAGAUACUGUAUGUCUCCCAAACGUUUGCAAAACGCCUUCCAGCAGGCAUUACCGAGAUCAUUUUUGGCCAUCAUAUUCACAAAUCCUUCCAGACUGAAAUUUUCACCAGCUUCCAAAAUUUGGUGACUUAUUAGGUGUGGAAAAUUUCCACAAGAAAGAAACAAGAUAAAGAAACAACAUAAAUGUUCUCCUGCCCUAAUCGAGAGAUUAGAAUACGGAAAAAGUCUGUAUUGUAGAUGCAGGAUGUUGUCGUAGCCAGUACAUACAAAUACUCUACGGACCCAAUUAUAAGACCGCAUUUUUUUCCCCGAGGAAAAAAAAGUCAGAAAAGGUUGUCUUGUCCAAGAGGUGGCGACAAACAACUAUUCCCCAAAGAAGCUUUUCUUCAGGUCACUCACGCACACCAGUGAAUUGGAGAUUUGCGGUCACGAAAUAAACACAACAAAGUGUAUCAAACGUUUGUCAAGUUAGCAAACAUAAUAGUGAUCAUUGAAGUCAUCAUACAACUCUUAAGCAGCUAAGAAAUAUGAUACCAUUUUCCAGUUGUUGCUUCGUUGACAGUGAAAUGUGUUUUAUGAAGGUUAAUUUUGUCUUGUCUUUCUGUUGAAAAAGUAGUUUUGUCUUAUGUUUGGGUCAACGUGUCAAAUACAACUUCAGAAAGAUGGGAAUAUUUCUUUUAGUUUGCUAAAUAACUGAAAUGUUCAAAUUUGUGCCAUUUUUAUAGAAAUCCAUUAUCAUAAGAGAACAACAAUAUUGCUUAUUGUUUUUCCUGAACGGCCUCAUGUCAUCUCUGGGUGGAAGGAAAAGAAAAACAGCGGCAUCUUCUGGUUGCGGUGGGGCACUCAUACAGGUUUCUAUUAUGUUAGGCUUAUCUAGCGAUGGCUUUUUACAUUUUGCACGGACAAUUAUCAUCACAUUUUCUCUUUCUCCACUCCUCCACUCCUUCACAUCCAUGACGUCUUUAAUUGACAUCGCCACACACCAUUAGUGCCAUUCCUAAGCUUUGGUGGAUGGUUUUAAAUGGUUUUCUCUUGAUGAUUCAUCAUAGUUAGAUUCAACCUUUGCUGCCUUUUUUUUUUUUUCUCAAGCUCCAUCUCAUCAUCUUUCUUGUCUGGUUUAUUUUGGCUCAAACACCCUGCUAGCUUUGUGCUUUAGAUGAUCCGACCAUGACUUUUGUUCUCCAAGGCCAUUUGAUUUGGAAGGCAAACAGCAAAAUCACAAUGCGGUCAUAACAGGCAAAUAGGAAAACAAGAAAUGGAUCUCGUGGAGGAGGGUGCAAAUUGUCUUGUCAAUGCAUGACAAUUUUCUAUAAAAAUAGGAACAAAGAAAGACAAAGCACUUAUUUACAUUGGUAAUCUUUUUAAAGUGAACUCAUUGAAUCUCCAAAUUUUGUCUUGGGGUGGAUUUUGUUUUCAUUUAUCCCUCCCUCCCAAAGCUCCAAUUUGUUUGUUACAAGUGGAGUUUAUACAUUUAAUGUGAGUGAUCUGAAUUGCAAAUCCACAAUUAUUUGUAAAUAAGAUCUAAAACACAUAACACAUUAAUUAACUCAAAUAUUGGGCACUUGUGACAAUUAAGCAUGUUAAUUAGUGGCUUGCACUGGAGUGUAUCUUGGAAUGACAGCACUCUAUGGCAGUGUUAUUUAACUGGUGGGUUGGGACCCAGUUCUGGGUCGUUGACAACAAAUCAGAAAUUCAAUUAAAAUAUUCAGUGUAAUUAUGUGAUAGUAUGAAGUAAAUAUGUUUAUAUUACAUCUAUUUUGAAAAUAUAUUUUUGAUUGGCAUCUUCUCCCUUGAUAUAUUCAUAUGCUAUAAAGAGGAUUGCAUCAUGUUGCAAAUGAUGUGCGGCGCUGAUGUUUUGGAACCAUCCACAAUCAUGAACAAUGGUGGUUGUGACUGUGUUCCAAAUUACACACAGGUCUUAUGCCAUAACAUAAGCUGAUAACAGACGAGAGCAAGAUGAUGUUGCUUCAGCAGAGCAACAGGCGGCCAGCGUUCUGCAAUCAAAGUGGAUGGAUGUGGAUAUCGACAACACUGACACAUGCCUGGCAUCACACAAGGCUGUGGGCUGGAGUUCCUGCUGGUCCUCUGUGGCCUGGAGUUUUCCUGGUCGUGUCCCCUGCACUGCAUCUGCUACACGGCACCCAGCACCGUCUCUUGCCAAGCGCAUAACUUCCUGUCUGUCCCCGAAGGCAUACCCCCUGACAGCGAACGCAUCUUCCUUCAGAACAAUAAGAUCCAUCGGUUACUUAGGGGUCACUUCAGCACCAACACGGUGACACUCUGGAUAUACUCCAACAACAUCACAUACAUCGAGCCCUCAACCUUCCAUGGCUUCACACUGCUGGAGGAGCUGGAUUUGGGAGACAACCGCCACCUGCGCUCCCUGGCUGAAGACACCUUCCACGGGUUGAAUCGACUCAGUGCUCUACACCUGUACCGCUGUGGACUGAGCUCACUUCCGAAUAACAUCUUCCAAGGCCUAAGAAGCCUGCAGUACCUCCAUUUACAGCAAAAUCAUUUGAAGUUCCUGCAAGAUGACACAUUUGCCGACCUCCAUAACUUGAGUCACCUGUUCCUUCAUGGAAAUCACCUGUGGAGACUCAACCAGAACACUUUCAGGGGUCUUCAGUCCUUGGAUCGCCUCCUUCUGCACCAAAACCAGAUCGAGUGGGUUCACCACCUGGCGUUCCAUGACCUCAAGCGUCUCACCACCCUUUACUUGUUCAACAACUCUCUCAUGCAACUGUCAGGGGAGUGCCUGGACACGCUGCCUGCUCUGGAAUACCUGCGCCUCAAUGACAAUCCAUGGUCAUGUGACUGCAAGGCGCUCACACUGUGGGAGUGGUUGAAACGUUUUAGGGGCUCAACGUCUUCUGUCGGUUGCAUGGCGCCGGUUGAUAUGGUUGGGAAGGACCUGAAGGAGCUGCGAAAGGAAGACUUCUCCAACUGUUCACCAAAUUCAGAAUCUAGAGCCCAAACCAACAACUUGUCUGGCACCGUCAGCCCGCCGUCCAUGAAUCGUGGCGUAGUGGCGGGCUCAGGGGGCCAGAGCAAUGUGGUGCACCCCUCGAGGCCCGGCCGUCCUCGCAACUGCCAGAAGACUCGCAAUCGGGGAAGCAAGGGGAAGACCGACAACGAGGUCCACCACUCGAAGGAGGUCAUGGCAGACAAGGAGGACUCGUCUCCAGAUUUCUCCGAUGGAGGAAAACACGAUCACACAUCCCCAGAUGGCACCGUCACGAGAAGGAAGCACAAGUGUGUUCCGCGGACCACUGUCCGACCCCCGAGUGGGGUUCUGCAAGCCAACAACAGGGCGUCCUUAUCCCGCCCCUUAAUACACAUCUACGCACUUCUGGUUGCCUUGACAACAAAUACACACUUUAUUCUCCGCUGAGCUACAGAGGGUUUGGUAAAUGACCAUCACAAAAGCAUAGACCUAAACACCCUCUCUCGCUCCUGCACUACAAGGCCCUUGUGUCUUUUAUGUGUGUGUCUGAGUGUGACUAUGUGUAAGUGUUGUGUAGGAAGUGUAACCAUUCAGAUGAGCACAAGCAUCAAACAUCCACAACAGAAAGUCUUGCAAGGAGUCCUACUAACCGAUUCACGCAGACCAAGCGUGCACUGCCGCGUUCCAUCAACAUGUGUCUUUUUGUUGGAAUAAGCUCUGGACCUCCAAUAAGCAUACAUGGAGGUGAGGCGGGUGGAGGGGGCAGGGCAAGAUAAAUCAAGUCAUAAAUGUGGUCUUCUGCAAAACAAUUUAAGCGGCUAGUCGAUGACUUAGCGUGCGCGGCCUGCUCCAAUUCUUUCUGUCACUUGUUGCACCCAUUCUAUCAACGGGUUCAAAAAGUGAAGAUUUUAGCAUAAAUAAUCGUUAUCAGACCCAGGAAUGUAAAUAUUCCUUCUACAAAAUGGAAUUUAUAGCCACUGCUGAUCUAAGGCCAUAAAUGAUAAGCUCAUACGUCACUAAUGGAUUUGAAGCUGCUAACUGUGUCAGGAUGCCGAGGACUGCCAUUUUCAUUCCAGGUGAAUCCGCGAGUCUGUCUGUACUUCGUGCUCGUUUGUUUCAGAUUUCUAAAGACACGGAAUGGACCUAGUGUUGAAUCCAUACUGCAGGGCCGGCAGGGGGAGGGGGGCUUUUUUUUCAGUUUCCCAGUGCGCUGAGAACUCGGCCUUCCUCCAGACAACCUCCAUCUCUCACUGACAAUGUCCAUCCACCCAUCCUUUUUCUAUGCCGCUUGUCCGUCUUAGGGGGACAGGUAAGCUGGAGCCUAUUCCGGACGACUUCGAGCGACGCCUCGGACUGAUCGCCAGCCGGUCGCAGCACUGACAAUGACCAAGACUAUUGCCGCAGGGGUCCUGAAGAGAUGCUGUACAGAACAGACGACAUCGAACGUGACGCCAAACUUCUGGAGCUUAUGUGCCUCCCUCUAAUGGACUGACAUGAUGGUCUUUGUAUCAAUGAUGUAACAAAGAAACAGACUACAAUGGUGAUAUUAUAAAAAUUACUGUCUUACUAUGAGAAAAAAAAAUAUCAGUGGCAUCAAUUAUGAUAACAGGGUUUUUGCUCCUUAAAUCGGGAGCCGUUUUAUUUUAAAAUCAAGCUAAUUUUUCAUGGUAUAUUUUCAGAACCUUCAUUUGUUAAUGCACAGUCGUCACUCGCGUCUUCUCUCGUUCUAUCGUUUCGCAUUUGUGUCUUCUUUCUUUGCCGCCAUGAAUCUGUUGUUCCGUGCGGCCUCACCCAAGGCUACAAAAAAUGUUUAUAAAGAUAUUAAAGUCUAUAUCUUCUUAUGUCUCACCGUGGCCGUCUGAGUCUGUUUAUUGAAGCUUUGGCGUUUUAUAGGCUUGUUUGUAAAAAGUCAAAGUCAGGCUUGCUCUCCUUGUCUUGCUGUUUUUUUUUUUCCUUUUCCCCCCGCCCAAGUAAACGAGAAAUUGAUUCUGUCAGCAAAUUUGGCUUUUUUCCCCCACCAGGUUUCCCCUUCCAUCUUUGCUCUUGCUCAAAGUGAAGCUCUCGUGGUGAAACUAAAGCUGUGCUAUAAAAACAAAUCGAAUCAGCCCUGCACACAUUGCAAUUUGAACGACCAAAUGAAGCCUAUUUCAUGUCUCAAAAAAAGGGGAAACGGGAAGACAGUUUGAAGCCAGAAUAAAGUCAAUUCCUGACAGCAAGCUGGUGUAAUUCCAUAAAUCAAAUGAAAGCACAUUCAUUAUUAAUCACUUUUAUGAGAAUUAAAAAUAUGCGUUUCCGAGAUGAGCAGGAAUGCAAGAUGAAGCCUUGUUCAAGACCCCGAUUUAAAAAAAAAAAAUCUGUUAAGACAAAAGAACACACUAUAUACGCUAAUUUGCUUUGUCACCUACAACACAAAGUUAGAUGUCGGUUUAGUUCAGCUAGCUUAGCAUAUAUUGACCUACUCUGGAUUGGUUUUAGCAUCUUUAAUAUACAAAAUGUACUAAGGUGGCCCCACAUUCUUCAGUGGUCUGUAAGCGGCCUUCAGAGGAAAACGUUGGACACACCUGCUGUAGACCUUGAACAUAACACGACACGUCGUUUUUUUAGACUUUGUUGUCCGGAAAAAAAGAUAAUAUAUUUGCGUCAAUAUGGUUCAAAGAACUGCCAGUACAGAUAUGAUGGGAACAGUUUGACCCUGGACCAGAUUUCUUGUAAAUCUAUUAUUACCUUUGAGGAAAAAUCAGGUCAACUAGCAUCACGAAGUAGAAUAUAUAGACUUAAUUUCCUUGCUCAAAAUGGAGAAAAUGUAUUCACCACUUAAUUGGUUUCUUUAUUUUUUUUUUCUUUUUAAACGGGAGAAUCUUUGUGAAUGUUCUGAACUCCUAUUUCAGCAUAACAUG